rnacentral:misc_RNA from 1 species
CACUCUAGGUGUGUAUGAUGGUAAGCUGAUAUAUUUGGGGCAGGAACUCCUCGAGUUUGAUGUGCUGUUUGCGGUGGCCCCGGUUAAGCAAUCACGAGGCGUCAAAUCUUUAUUAAAGCACAAUCGAAGUUCCUGGAUAGAACCAUGCCUGCAAACCAAUUGUGGUGACGCCCCUACAUCUCUCUCAAUGGUGGAAAUAAUGUCCCCCAACGGAUAUUUCACAGCAUUGGAGGCUAGGAAACCAGCAUUGCUCAAAAUUGCCGUAAUGUUAUAUUUGGAGUAUAGAUCGAGGACCAUGGAGAAGUAACUAUACUCAUCUUUUACUACUGGCUAAG